AGAAUGAGGAUGUGCGUUUCUAGCUGCUUUGCGCCCUCCUCCCCCAAAAAUCUGCUACCACAAUUCCAACCCGGCGGCACGCCCCCAAGACUCCUUUGUCGCCCCAGGGGCGGGACCUGAGCUGUCGAUUUCAGGAGCCCUUCGUGACUUCAAAAGUCCUGGGCACUGUUGCUCAUGAGUGCUGCACAACUGUCGCCCUCUAAAGCCACCUCCAUCCCUCACUGGGCUGGCCUCCUGAGCCUUCGGUGAGGAAACGGGGUUCCGAGUUGCCCGCCUGAGAGCUUAACAGUCUGACUAGAAAAGGGCUAAUUCGCUUUCUGUGCAAAUCUCUUGAGCUAAUUAUUUAAUCUGAAACAUGGACAGAAGGAAGCCCGGUGCCAGCCAGCCUUCCUGAAAGACCAAGCCCGCGCCAUCCGGCUUCCUCCAGUGGACGCCUGCAGGACCCAGGAAUGUUUUUCUUGAAGGCAUCCAGCAUCUCCAGUUAGCAGUACUGAUUUUUUUUCCCCCCAACAAAGGAACACUACAUCAACACUGUUGGCGGGGACCUGGACACAGAAGACUCCUGUUUCAAGAAAAUACAAUCAUCUCUCAAAGGCUGUAAUUUAUAUGCAUUUUAAAACUCUAGGCAUUGAAAACCACCCAAGUGUCCCAAAUAGAAGGGUAAUAUAUAAUCAAUCACUCAGUGUAAUAUUAUACAUCCUUUAAAAAUGUUAUUGGGAAAUGUUUUAUGAUCUGUAAGUCCAAGGAAUCCUCUCCCACCAUUUCUUUCCCCCCGCUGUUCCCCCAUACCCACACUUCUUUGUUCCAAUUGGCAUGUAAAUUUGGUUUUCCCGCCAAAUGAGUCAGUCAUGAUGGGAACCUCAACUGAUUUGAACAGAUGUGUGUCAAUGUUACUUGGAAAACUAGAUGUCAAUAACCAGGGUCACAGAAAAAGGCAGUGGUCACAACUCUGUAAAAAUGUAUGCAUGCACACAGACAAGAACUAAAGUGGAACCCCACACAGGAAAACAGUGGGCUGUACUCCAGUGCUGGGACAUUGAAUGACUGUAUGCUGCUUUUGAUUUCCGUUAAUAUGGGCAACUGUCCAAUUAAAAAAAAAACUCCUAA
rnacentral:lncRNA from 1 species